UACGUAGGGUGCGAGCGUUAAUCGGAAUUACUGGGCGUAAAGCGUGCGCAGGCGGUUUUGUAAGCCCGAUGUGAAAUCCCCGGGCUUAACCUGGGAAUGGCAUUUGGGACUGCAAGGCUGGAGUUUGGCAGAGGAGACUGGAAUUCCCGGUGUAGCAGUGAAAUGCGUAGAUAUCGGGAGGAAUACCGAUGGCGAAGGCAGGUCUCUGGGCUGACACUGACGCUCAUGCACGAAAGCGUGGGGAGCAAACAGG
rnacentral:rRNA from 1 species